GCCUAAGUAAGCCAUGGCAUAGGGCAAACUGAGAACACCUGCACCGAUCAUGGCUGUGACAGUGUGAAAAGUUGAGUACCACCAUUUGGCUCGGCGAGCGGGAUCGCCUUCCGUCCAUUUCUCGACAGACGACUGCUCUUCCUUGGAAAGGGGAGGAGAAGUUGAAACCAUUUUGGCAGCCAAAGACAACGCGGUCUUGAAGAUCCCCUCAACGUGGGAGUUCAGUGACAUGUAUUAGUGGCCUGGUGGCGCAAAUUUUUAUUGGAAUAAAGAUAUGAAAAGAAAAUUUUCUUUGGUUCAGUUUUGGGGCUCCCCCUGGAUCUUUCUAGUCCCAUCUCAGAGGAUUGCUCUUUCAGCAGUUACAGUAAUGCAAAGAAAAUGGGGAAUCUUUUUGCAUAGUUAAAGUGGCAUUAGAUCCGCCCACCAACAACUCGUCAAUGGGUUUGUGCCAUUUAAAAAAGAUUUAACUUUUAUAAUACACAUUUUAACUUCCUAAGCUAGUAAAGCAUGAAGAGACAACUUUCAAGCAAAAUGCAUAAAAGGGUUGUGAAUGCAGUCUAU
rnacentral:misc_RNA from 1 species